UAAUAUUACAAUAAUAUUCAAACAAAUCUUAAAAUAUAUUUCUCAUUUACUCACCUCCAGAAAUAUCCAUUAGGAGGGCUUUACAGACUAUGUUAUCUGUCCGGGCAGUUAAAUAUUAGGGCCUUUGGGUUUGCGCUAAAGCCGUGCUAACCGUGUUAAAAAUAGACGUUCUGUCCCUAACUUGUUAAAGUACGGAAUGAGUUGAGAGAUAUCCUGUAUGCAACCACCCCCCUGUAUGUUUGCUUUAGACCAAAAGGCUGUGAAUUCAAAGAGCCGUUCUGUCAACCGGUUUGUUGGGGGUCCUGGUGCGUUGAUUAGAUAUCCAUGUUUAACCCCGGGCCGAUACCUUGACAUGUCAUAUGCUGGAUAGUUCAAACUUUGGGUUUCAAACGAUUCUCUACAGAUGGGACCCCAUGUUGAACCCACACAAACAAACCCUUUGUUUUUUGAAACGCACACACACACACACACUCCUGCUGCUCCGUCACACGCACACUCAUGCACGCACCCUGAUUUUCAAUGUCUUUUUCUUCGCGACAGAGUUGGCUGAAGAUGUGAAAUACCGUUUCACAUAGUUACGGAUAUUACAGUUGUCUGCGCCAGACCCUAGCGUGAGAGAAAAGACCGCUCCCCCUUUAGUUAAAUGGAUAUAGGGUCCGGUUAGCCCUGACCAUUAUCCGUUUCCAAUUCCCCAUCGCAAAGUCUUUUGCCCGCUCCAUCGAAGCUCUGGCCGUUUUCACUCCAGGGAAAGAUCCGCCUUCUGCCUUGUGGGUCUUGGGAAUGUCUCAACGAUAACCGAGGCCAUCGCCGUAAUUGUUCCCGAUUUUCGAAAAGACUGUCCAGCUUAUUCAUCAGUGUUCUGAAAAUACGGUAAUCGCGCCAUUUAAAACUGAACAUUAUUUGAAAAAAUUUUACAUCCUUGCAUGCUUUGGAAGAUACAUAUGAACUGACCGUUUUCGAAGCAUUUGCACUAUCAAAUUGUUCACAUGCUAAAAUUGUCACUCUGGAGUCCGGUGUAUACGCCAUUGAAGCGAUUCUUAGGGCCAUUAGAUCACUUCGGCCACAGACCUGUUCUUCCAACGCAUAUCCGGGCAGCCUUGAAGCACUCAGGGCGCGUUCCAUUUGACACAGCGCUAGUCUUAUUUUAAGCCAUUCUCUCAUCCUUAGCGCUGGAGAAAAACUCUCGGGUUCUGCCCGAUAAAAGGGUUGGGACACGCUGUCUGUGAAUAUCUUAACCGUAGAUUCCUCCGGGCUAAAGAUGUAAGACAUAUGCCCGUCGCUUGUACACAAAAAGCCCUUAAAACAUUCGGGAGCCUCACGCAAAACAUCCUCCAGGCUUUUGUCGUUGGAUUCAUGACAUGAGCUGCAAAGCACUCCGAUAAUUGCCCUUGUAGACAUAUUUUAGAUGUUUAAUAUUCAAGUCUUUAUUUUAAAAAUUGCUUGUUCUGGACAUUUAUAAUGCAUAUGCCACAGCCCAGGACAUUCCGGCUUCAUCAGAUAAACAUAUGGGCGAUAAA